GUUCACCAGUCGAAACUUGGACCAUUCAUUGUGGAAAUGUCAAAAAGUUUUGCUUCUUGCCGGCUUGCUAAAAAUUAUACCUUCUGGGGUGGAAAUAUUUCUGGUGUUGCUUUAGGGUGGAGGAGGGAACCAUAACAAACCUCUCAUAGGAAGACAGACUUAGAUCAGGAAAUACUUCUUCAAAAAUCACUGAUGAACUUGACAAGUUCAGACUUAUUGCUCAGGUUUCUGCUACAGAAGGACACAAGUGCAGCAACUGUUUGCAAUAAUGACCUGGCUGCUAUAGGAACAAUCAGGAUGAUGGAGUGCCAGUCAUUUCUCCAGUUUCAGAUGGAGAGGGUUUGAAGCAGCUGAUGGGAUCCCAGGCAAACGGCUAAGCAGAAGAUCACUGGUGAACAUAUCAUUUGCUUUGGGCUCCUAUGAUGAUCGCCUCAACAAGACCUCAUGGCAGCGAGCUAUACAGAGAAGCAGCACUGAUGUUAGCAAAGACAGCACCGUCACAAACAUGUCCAAGGGCAGAAUUAAGGUUACAGGCUUAAAAUGUCAGCACUUCUUGACUUCCAGCAAUAUCACCAUGCAGCAGGACCACUGUUUGAUGGGAUAUAGUGGUGCUGAGAGUAUUCUUCACAACAGCAUUGCAUUUGCCUCCAUACCUCAAUGAUUUUACUCAGUCAUCAUCAUCCACCUCAAGCUAUUUAAAUUGGUCUCUUUUACUAAGUAUUCAUUUUCUGGGACUGCAGCGUCUUUCUUUUCGGAAGGGGAGGGGGCAAAGCUGUGUCUUAGAAGCAUCACCAAACACUUAUAUAUUAGGUAGUUCCUUAUUCCAAAAAUAUGCUUAUCAUCAGAUCUUUCCCAUGGCUUCGCAUGAAAAAUACAGGUCAGAGAGGAUAAUAAAUUCCAUCACUUGACAAUUUUUUCAAUUACCAGGCACGUUAAAAUGAUGCUUCCACAAACAGGUUGCAAGGCACUGGCUGAAAAAAAAAAAAAAAAAAACCCUAUUAAUUUACUGUAAAUCUAUUUAAAGAGGAAAUUCACGCUUUGCAGGGUUUAACCAUUAGUCCUAGGAGUUAUUUUACAGCUGGACUGAGCUAGUAUAUGAGCCCCUGAGGGUCAUUUCAAAGACAUGGCACCACCGCAGCGGGGAUGCGGCAUGUGCCAGGAGCCCCCGAUUCACGAGCACAUUUGGGCACGUAUUUAAUCUUUAAUCACACACUUAUCUGGUCAUUUCAAUGGCUCUUCAGCAUGUGCUUUUCUGCAUAGAGUUGCUUGAGUGAACUGAGCAAGUGACUUAUUUUUUAUUCCCCUCUCAG